ACCUCCGAUAUUCCAGCGCCAACUA
rnacentral:rasiRNA from 1 species